AGUCAAUAGAUACCCGGGUAGUCCCAGCAGUAAACGGUGCGCGUUUGGUGUGAGCAGAUUCGACUCUGUUCGCGCCGGAGCUAACGCGUUAAACGCGCCGCCUGGGAAGUACGAUCGCAAGAUUAAAACUCAAAGAAAUUGACGGGGGCCCGCACAAGCGGUGGAGUAUGUGGCUUAAUUCGAUGCAACGCGAAGAACCUUACCUGGGUUUGACAUGCAUCUCUAAGGAGGUGAAAGCUUCCGAGGGUAGCAAUACCCGAUUUGCACAGGUGCUGCAUGGCUGUCGUCAGCUCGUGUCGUGAGAUGUUGGGUUAAAGUCCCGCAACGAGCGCAACCCUUGUAUGCUGUUGCUAUGCUUACGCAUAGCUCUCUGCGUAGACUGCCCCGUGAAACGGGGAGGAAGGUGGGGAUGACGUCAAGUCAGCAUGGCCCUUACACCCAGGGCUGCACACGUACUACAAUGCUCAGUACAAUUAGAACCUGCCCCGCGAGGGUUGGGAAAUCAGCGAAAAACUGAG
rnacentral:rRNA from 1 species